UACAGAGGUGGCAAGCGUUGUUCGGAAUUACUGGGCGUAAAGGGCGCGUAGGCGGCCUUCUAAGUCAGACGUGAAAUCCCCAGGCUUAACUUGGGAACUGCGUCUGAUACUGGAGGGCUCGAGUGCGGGAGAGGGAUGUGGAAUUCCAGGUGUAGCGGUGAAAUGCGUAGAUAUCUGGAGGAACACCGGUGGCGAAGGCGGCAUCCUGGACCGACACUGACGCUGAGGCGCGAAAGCUAGGGGAGCAAACAGG
rnacentral:rRNA from 1 species